UGUUGCCCCGUUUAAUUUUACUCACUUGGUUACUUAUUGCUGUUGUAAGAACACGUCCAGUCUUAUAAACGAAAUCAAAAUUUUUCAUUUUAAAAAGUUUUAUUUUUACUUUUUCUUUCUUUAUUUUUAAUGUCUUACUACAAACUGUAGCAGAAGAAAAUGCCAUAAAGUUACUGCAAACAUACAGGUGUUCCGUAAAAAACUAUGGAAUUGAAGAUUUUGUUGCUGAAAGUGUCAAAAAACUAAAGCCAACUCCCCGCCCUCCGUUACGGACGCCUCUGAUUAUUUAUUUUAUAUUUAAUCCCCGAAUUCGAUUAGACGUGUAAAGGUUAUCAACUGUACCAAAUUUUGUAAUUUUAUCCGAAAUGGUUCCAAAAAUAUGGAGGAAAAUCCACUUUCGAGAGGUGUACGAAGUAUUUUUUGAUACAUAUAAUAGGAAACUUUUGUCUUACAAUUGAAUGUUUUGUCACCUGUUUAAACUUGUAACAAUAAAAACGGAACACUUGUACAAAUAAAAUGAAAUUUUAAUUCCCACUGUCUGAUUUUGAUAUUAAAAUCUUCAAUAAUUUAAACCUGUCUGAAUAAUUUUUUUGGAGGUAUUUUCAUACACAAGAUUUUUUCUCAUCAGUUAUGUCGUUACACGUUGCAUUCUUCUUCGGUUUCGUGGUUUCAACCACCAUUUACUUCAAAAAUAAUUAUUGAAAUUAGAGCUUUUUGAAUUAGCAAAAUUGUAUUUUUAUUCAACAAUAAUUGUAUAAUUAUUCAACAAUAAAAAUGUGUCCGUUA